rnacentral:rRNA from 1 species
AUUGAACGCUGGCGGCAGGCCUAACACAUGCAAGUCGAGCGGCUGAAGGGAGCUUUCUCCUGGAUUCAGCGGCGGACGGGUGAGUAAUUCCUAGGAAGCUGCCUGGUAGUGGGGGAUAACGUCCGGAAAGGGACGCUAAUACCGCAUGCGUCCUGUGUGCGAAACAGGGGGAUCUUCGGACCUCACACUAGCAGAUGAGCCUAGGUCGGAUUCGUUAGGUGGUGGGGUAAAGGCCUACCAAGGCGACGAUCCGUAACUGGUCUGAGCGGAUGAUCAGUCACCCUGGCACUGAGACACGGUCGAGACUCCUAAGCGAGGCAGCAGUGGGGAAUAUUGGACGAUGGGCGAAAGCCUGAUCCAGCCAUGUCGCGUGUGUGAAGAAGGUCUUCGGAUUGUAGAGCACUUUAAGUUGUGAGGAUGGGCAGUAAGUUAAUACCUUGCUGUUUUGACGUUACCAACAGAAUAAGCACCGGCUAACUUCGUG